CCAUGAUCAGUCAUAUUACCUAUUGAUGCGAAAAGGUGUGCUCGCUCUGGAUGCCGGUGGACCCCGUACCGAGGCGAACCUGCGUGCAAUUCGUAGCAGGUUCUCAUUUGUGGCCUUCUUGGUUCUAUCCCCGAAAGUUUGCUUCAGAAAUGAAUUAUACAAUAAAGGAAGAGAAAGAAGAGAAGGAUAAAGACCAGAAGUGCUUCGUCGACAUCCCCAUCCAGGAUAUAGAGGCCGGAAGUGGCCUUUAUUGCAAUGGGAAUGUGAGCCAGGCGAUGUGAUUAUAUUCCACAUGAAGACAGUCCAUGGGGCACCAGGCAAUACUUCCUUCAGUACUCACCGACGUGUCCUUUCUACUCGCUGGCUUGGUGAUAUGCUGUGCUGGCAACCCGACCAUGGGAGGUAUCACCACCAAUUACCGGAGGCCUCAAACCUGGUCAGCGCGCCGUGUGUGACUCAUUCCCAAUUGUAUAUACCAGGCAGUGAAUUCUACAGUGCGAUCGGCAUUGCCUGGAAUCUAAAUAAUCAUUAUGCAUGAAUUUAGCAUACAACAAGCACAACAAC